CCCACCCCCGGCUCAUGUUGAAGUCUGAACACUCAAUCUUCACCUUGUGGCUCUAGUUUGUAAGGCUGUGGAACCUUCUGGAGGAGUGGUGUGGUGGUUUGAAAGAAAAUGGCCCCCAGAGGAAGCAGCACUAAUAAAAGGUGUGAUCUUGUUGGAGGAAGUGUGUCACUGUGGAGGUGGGCUUUGAGGGAUCAUAUAUGGUCAAGCCACACCCAGUGAGACAGUUCACUUCCUGUGCCUGUAAGAUGUAAAACUCUCAGCUCCAGUACCAUGUCUGCCUGCAGACUGUCAUGUCCCACAAUGAUGAUAAUGGAUGAACCUCUGAACUGUAAGUGAACUAUCCCAAUUAAAUGUUUUCCUUUAUAAGAGUCGCCAUGGUCAUGGUGUCUCUUCACAGCAAAAGAAACCCUAACUAAGAUAAGCAGCUUAGCUGAAGGAAGUGAUCUUGGAGGUUUAGGUGCAUUGCCACUUCCUAUCUGCUCUAUGCUUCAUAUUCCAUCAAGAUAUGAGUCUCAGCUGACCACCGUUGCCCCAUGGAGCUGCCUGUGGUCCUGAUUUCCCUUCAAGAUAGAUGGCAUCCCUUCAAACUUUCUGGCCCAAAGAAACCCAGCCAAGUGUGUUGUCACAGCAACAUGAAAAGUAACAAACACCUGUUCUCUCUUAAAAUGCCUGCUCUGUGAAAAGCCUCUGUGUAGAGCUGCCUUGUAGGAACUUGCUCUGGGAAUUUACCAUUUACCUUCCUCACAGCUCAUGUCACUGUCUAAACUUUUUCUCUCUUUCCACCAAGAUGGCAGACACCAGGGUGCUUUGUCUGACUCAUUCCCUACUGUAUCCCCAGUACCUGGUGCACAGUAGGUGCUUGUAAAAAAUUGUUGGGUGAAUAAAUGUUGUCAGAUUACAGUACUCGGCAUAUUUUAUCAGAUGCAUUGCUCCUAUUGUUUUUCUUUGUAAAUCCUCUGGAGUUUUACUCCUUGUGUACUAAAUUUUACUCCUUGUGUACAUUGUAUCUGAGUUUAGUAAAUAUUAAGUCAUGUGCCACGAGAAGUUGUUGUGCACCUUGAAGAACUCACGAGUCUGUAUUCUGACAUUGCUGGCAAUUAGGAAAUGUCACACAAAGGCAGUGUUUCCCAAGUUCAAUCUACUGAUCCAAUCACAAUUGAUUUUUCAGUAGUAUUUCCCUCAAUUUCAUUUUGUUUCUCUGCCUCACGAUGUUCUAUCCAUGCCAGUUCUCGAUCAUAUUAGUGUCAAAGCAAACUAAAGAGGGAAUUGGGUGUGUUUAAUAUUUAUGAAAUGACUAUGUUGUGUUGAUAUGAAUAAUAAAAAAACUUAGCUCUGGAGAGGCAAAGUAACCUUAAUAAUCCUCUACUUAGGAUCAUAAUAUUGAUUUUAGUGUGUUACCAAACAGACUAUCUGUGACAGCUAUGUUUCACAUUUAAUUAUUAUAGUCUGCUGGGGGGAGGUGGUGGUGCAUGCCUUUAGUCCAAGCACUCAGGAAGCAAAAGCAGGUGGAUCUCUGACUUUGAGGCCAGUCUGGUCUACAGGGUGAGUUACAGGACAGCCAGAUUAUACAGAGAGAUCCUGUCUUGAAAAACAACAACAACAAAUUAUUAUAGUUUAAAGGAAGUUUAAAACUCAGAGGGUGAAGAUGUAUAGAUGAAGGAAAAUGAAAACCCACAGCACACAGGUCACUUCUGAAUCUUUGACCAGAUCAUUGCCCAGUGGCAAGCCCUAAGCCCUGGUUAGCAGUAGUAAGAAUAGAAUGUUUAGAAAAUGGCCUGUAGUGCUGUAGAGCAGUGGUUCUCAACCUCCCUAAUGCUGUGACCCUUUGAUACAGUUCCUCAUGUUGUGGUGACCCCCAACCAUAAAAUUAUUUUGUUGCUGCUUCAUAACUGUAAUUUUGCUACUGUUAUGAAUUGUAAUGUAAAUAUCUGAUAUGUAGGACAUCUGAUAAGUGAUCUCAAAGGGGUCAAGACCCAUAGGGUGAGAACCCUGCUGUAGAUAGAGGGAGAGGAGAAAAUCCUUCUUGAAGGUGUUUCUCUGUUUUGUUUUGGUUUUGAGUUUUGAUUAGCACAUACUAAUUAUACAUAUUUGUCUUGUAACGACAUUUUCUUACAUAUCUGUACUUCUUUGAUCACGUUCACCGCCCCUUAACCUCUCUCCUCCCUGUCUCUCCUUCUGAUUGCCUUCCUCUCCCCAGCUAGUCUCCUUUAAUUUUCACAUCUGUUUAGAAAUCAAUUAGUUUAAUCAAGGUCACUUAUAGGAGCAUGGGUGAGAGGUUGUUCACUGGAACAUGGGCGACUCUGCAGUGUCUACACCACCAAAGAAAAUGUCUCUCUCUCAAGUAGGGACUUCCCUUGUGCUUUGAUCUUUGAUCUCUGUGUAUCCCAUUGCAGCUGUUCAUUUUUUUUUUAUCAAGCAGCAGAUAUAUGUAAGCCAUCGCUUAAGGUAUAUUCAGGUGGAAAGUGACCAACACUGAUAAUGCAUAUUGGUUAGCUGUGAUAUGCCAGGAGUUUCAAUAUAUUACCUCAUUUAUUCUUUUCAAUGCUGCAAAAUGGAUGGGUUUACCCAUAUUUUAAAGAUGUCUUAAGGAUCUUUAUGCUAUAUGUAAGCAGACACAGACUCUAUAUUUAAUGACCAGAGAGAGCAGGAUUCAGGUACACUUUGGUCUGACUCCCAAGCCUGGAUUCUUUCUUCCAUCCGAAGUUGAAUGGAUGUUCCAGUAUGAGUGCUGUCACUGAUAACUGAUUAUAACUGCCUGAAGUGAAAUACUGAAAAUGUAUUUCAAGACUGUAUUCAAACCAAGAGUGCAUUUAGUGUUGUGAUUGCUUAGUCAUGCCUGCAGUGAGAGGGCAUGAGUGUUGUGAUUGCUUAGUCGUGCCUGCAGUGAGAGAAGGCAUGAGUGCUAUGAUUGUUUAGUCAUGCCUGCAGUGAGAGCAGCAUAGGUUAGUUCUUAUGUACCAUAUAUUUUUACUCUUAUCUCUGCUACAGAUAUGAUAAAAGACCCUCAAAGGACAAGUGAUUUUGUAAACCAAGUGAGAUACAUAAGAUAUGGUACAGGGGAAUAUAAACCAAAUUGAUAGAUCAAGAAGGCCUCAAGUGUGAAGUGCAUAACAUAUGGUGUUUGGAUAUGUAGUAGGCAAUUAGCAUAUCUUUGCUUAAUGAAUGAGUGAACAUUCAACUGAAUAGUUGAAAAUGUGACAAAUUCUGGUUCCUUGAGAUCAUCAAGAGUUCUGCCAUUUCGUCAAGUCCGAGUGCCUUAAACCAUCCAUCAACACCAUUUCUUUAGUUUCUGAUCAGAAUGCUAAUCUUGAUUUAUUUUCAAAUCAUCUAUUUGUAGUCUUGCAAAGCUGCUGUAGAAAAAUGGGAAGUUCAUACUGUUCAGUAUUCUUUUGUAAAAUUAUUACUGUGUGUGUAUUGUACGAGGAGGGAGUGCACAUGCUACAGAGGAUGUGUGCAGGUCACAGAAUAGCUUUGUGGCAUCAGUUUUCUUCUUCCACCCUUUAUAUGGUGCUCUAGUUUGAUUGCUGUGACAAACUCCAUAACCAAUGCAACUUAAGAGAGGAAAGGAUUUAUUUUAUUUACACUUCAUGGCUAUAGCCCAUCAGAGGGAAAUCAGGGGAGAAAUUAAACCAGGAACUGAGGCAAAAUGUUGCUUGCUGGCUCACUCACAGGACCAUGUUCAGCUAACUUUCUUAUAUAGCCCAGGACCUCGUACCCUGUCCACAGUGGGCUGGGUCCUCCUGCAUCAAUUAGUAAUCAAGACAAUCCCCCAAAGACAUGCCCAUAGGCCAAUCUGAUUUAGGCAAUUCUUUACUGAGGCUUUCCUCUUAGAUGGCUCUAUACUGUGUCAAACUGACAAAGCUAACUAGGACACAGAGGUUCUGGGAAUUGAACAGGUCACAAGGCUUGUACGGCAAAUGCUUUUAUCCACUGAGCUACCUUGCCUCAGUAUUCAUUAUAUAGAGAAUAACUUGUGUAUUCUAAGUUUAUUCAUAUCUUUUUAUUGUAUUAUCUAAGAUGCACUGUACUAAUAAAUUAAAAACAAACCAUGUCUUUGACUUUUAGAACCUGUAUUUCAGUAAGGGGAGAUGGUCUGGUGGUUUGAAAGAAAAAUGGCUCCCACAGGAAACAGCACUAUUAGGAGUUCACUUCCUGUUGCCUGUGGAUCAAGAUGUAGAACUCUCAGCUUCUUCUUUGGCACCAUGUCUGCCUGCAUGCCACCAUGUCCUGCCAUGAUGUUAAUGGACUAAACCUCUGAACUGUAAGCCACCCCAAUUAAAUGUUUUCUUUUAUGAGAGUUGUCAUAGUCAUGGUGUCUCUUCAUAGCAAUAGAAACCCUAACUAAGGCACUCUCCAAAAAGCUAAUAGAUAAAAAUAAAUGAGAAAUGCUACUUAAGAUAAAUAUGGGGUAAAAUAAAUGAAGUGAUGUAGUUAAGCCCAGCAAUACUCCUGUGAUGAAGUGACAGUGAAGGCCAGACUCAAGGGUGAAUGGGAAGGGACAGGAAGGAUGUGAAGAGUGGGUGGAGAGGUAAUCCUAGACUGGAAAUGAGCAAAGCUCCCAUGGCAGGAACACAGUUCACAUUCUUUGUUAAGUGGGACUGUAGUGUGGUGAGAAAGGGAAAAGGUUCUAUCAGUAAAUGUGGAAAAUGCGAUUCAAAACUGAGAACAGAGUAAAGUACCAGUCAUAGACCAUAGGUGGAAUAUUUAAAAAGUGUAGUGUGAUUGUGUGUGUGCACAUGCACAUGUGUGUGUGUGUGCACGUAUGUGUGCAUGUGCAUGCCAUUGCAUGUCUGUGGAGGUCAGAGGACACUUUUAGGAAUCAGUUCUUGCCUUCCACUUCACUGAGGAAGGCUUUCACUGUUUCCUGCUGCUCCACUCCACCAAACGUGGCCCACGGGCUUCUGGUUAAUUCUCUAGUCUCUGCCACUUUUCUCAUCUUGGGAGGGAGUGCUAGGACCACAGAGGCUCACUACCACAUUUGGCUUUUUAUGAGGGCUUGAGUGGUCAAACUCAGGCCUUCAGACUUGUGCAGCUGACUUCUUUUCCCGAGCCAUCUAUGUGUAAUUUUUGAGCCACAACUAAGUCUUGCACUAUUGGGUAUCUACUGUGCCUACAUGCUUGAUCUGGUCAUCACCUGCUUCCCAGUAGCUGUGACAUUAAACACUACACCUUAGAAAAAUUCUGCAAAACCAGAGCUCUUUGGGCAAAUAAAUGAGAGACUCUAAGAAAAAAAUGCAACAAAGCCAUUUGUAAGUGUGCUUAUUCCAGUUUUUCAAGCUGAUAUAUCUAUUAAACAUCUGGUGUGGUAAUUAUUGAUAUCUGGGGGAAGUAAUAUUCUGAGAGCCAACUUUGAAGAAUGUUAGUGGAUUAAUGCUUACCUGGCCCUACUUAAUCACCUCCUAUGGUGAUAAACUCAUUAUGUCCCAAGGCAAUCCAUCCUGUUUCCAGGCUGAUUUCAUUGACAAGGAAUUUGCCUUAUGCCCAUUCCAAUAUUCUCAGCCAAACCCCUUAAAACAGCUGCCAAAGGAAGCCAAAGCUAAAGCCAUUGGUAAGUCCCUUCCCUCUCCUCUCUGUUGCCCAGUAGCCUUUACCCUUUAAGGCUUGGAGUCACUAGUCCAUGUCACAGUGUUGGGUUACAAGCAACAGGAAUCAGUUCUACAAAAGGCGAGGGAAAAACCUAACAUUUGGAAGAAUGUGGGUUGGUUCAUAAAACUAAGAAAUAUACGAGUGUCUCAGCUUGGGGCAACAGGGACACAGGCACUACUUUCUGUCAUCUGUCUUCUGCCCUCUUUUUGAGAUUGUCUUAUUACUUAGCACAGACUGACUUUGAACUCACUAUCCUCCUGUUUCAGCCUCUGGAAUACUAAGGUUAUAGGAUUACAGACAUGCACUGUGCUAUGGUUUGGACAUAAAAUGGCCUCUGUAGGUUCAUGUGUUUGAACACUUGGUCCCUAGCUAGAGGCACUGGAGGUAAGACUGUAGAACCUUUAGGAGGUUUUAGCCCCACCCAACCUCUGUUCUCUCACGGCUUCCUGACUUUCUGCUUCUGCUGCCAUGAUGGACUGUAUCCCUUCAAACUGUAAGUUAAAGAAGCCCUCCCUUAAGCCUCUUCUUAUCUCAGUGACAGGAAUUUACUAAUAUAUAUGACCAUGCUCAGCACCAGGUAUUCUAACCAUAUUUGUUUUUCAGAGCUACCUUGAAAACAUGAAUCACUCCAAUCAUUUUUCUCUCUUUGUGUCCAUUAAAGUUUAAGGGCCUAGAGAAGGGUCUGACUGCUCCACAUUGAGUCACAUCUUCAACCCUUGUCCUUGAGAGAGAUAGAUGUUUUAGGCGUUAGUUUUGCUGCAUGUAAGGAUGGAAAGAGAAGUCUAUAGAAAGAAACCAAGGUGAUGACCAGAAGAAGCAGAAUAUGGGCUUCUGGGUACUUCAGGGGGAAGCCAGCAAAGCCCCUUCUCCUGAAUAUCUGUUGUCUAAUUAGACUUUGACAUAUGUCCAAGUCAUUUCCAUACCAUUCAGUUUCACUAACAUGACAAUGCUGUCUACAUGGUUCCCAUGGCAUGUGCCUCAGCCCCUGGAGUGCUCUUUGACAAUGGGGAUGUGUUUCCCUGGGGCUUUAUUAGACAAUCAUGAAACCUAUAGCAUGUCUCCAACAAAAACUGGCUUGCAUGAUCAUGAGGAUAGAUAGCCAAGUAAUCAGCAGGGAAGUAUUGGCUGUGCAAUAUACUGAGAAGGAGGUGUGAAUAGUCACAUGAGCCCACAGAGAAGCUUGUUUGCAGGAAGCUGCUAACAGAUUGAAAGAACUUGCCUUGUUUGGUCAGAGGGGACUUUCAUGGGAUAUGAGGACCUGUGGAGAAAGACAAAGUACAAAAAUUCAGAACUGAGAUCUGGGGAACUCUUGCCCCAAGCCUGACAACCCUUUCUUACGAGGGUCUUGUGAGGUUGUUGGGGUGGUAAGGAAAAGAGACCUUUAAGAUAAUUUGGAGAAGUGCUCCAGCAAGCUUAAGCACAGCUGCCACUACCUUACCCAUGAAGUCUUUGUUCCAACCCUUCACCAGAGCCUUUUGAGGGUUGCUAGGAAACCAAGGAUGCUUGAGCAGUUGUGAUCUGAUUACAAUAAUCUUCUAGGUUUCCAUGGUUGGAGGAGGAGCCAGGCAGGCCCGGUGCUGUAUUCUCUUACCUUACUGUGGAGUACAGUGAGCCAUACGUGUCUUUCAGUUGUGUGAAUUCAACUCUGUGAUCUCAGUUCAGGGAUGAGGAGAAGAGAAUUGGUGGUGGGGGGAGAAAGAGUACGAGCUUGUAACAUAAAUAAUUCAAGUGUUCCUGUCCCUCUUCCACACAACGAGCAUAUGCUAGAAGUGAGACGGGAGACAUGCGUCUGCUUCUGCCUCAGACACACUCACUUCCCACGAGCUGCUCCAGAGUGUGAUUCUAGCAUUUAAAGAUAUGCAUUUUUCAUAUAACUUGGCCCCAAAAUACAAGUUAGUUACAUCAUCUGGUGCUUAACCAAGGAAAUAGCCAUCCCGAGGAAUUUGAGCAGCACAUGACUGUAGCUGCCCCUUCUUACCUCAGCUCUCUGCCUAAGAUGGGGCUCCCUGUCCCAUUCUGUGAUAUCCUUUCUUGGUAGCCGUGGGUGGUACUAUAUGCUUUUGCCCAUUUGUAGACUUGCAUGGCCUCGCUAGGAAUCAUCAAGGCUUACAAAUUUAUUCUGUGCCUGAGUGUUGUCUCUUGACAUCACAGAAAGUGCUCCCAGGUACCUUUAUCUAAAUAGCAGACCCUCUGUGAAUCAUAGUCUUUUCAGCUUACCACUGACCUGUGUUCAGAUUUGUUGGAGUUUUAGAUGGUCUGUUGAGCUUAAAAUUUCCCAGGAUAGCUACUCUUGGCUUUCAGGAUUGUCUUUUGGCCAGUAGUUUGUUCAUUUCUGUGUAGUACAUCUUUAAAAAUGAAUGUAUUUGAAUACGUUGAUGUGUACAUGCAGGAAAAAAGUCAAGAAUAUAGGCCAAAUGUUGAAUGUCCUCCAUCCUCCAUACCCUACCUUUCUUCUCUAGAGCCACCAAUGGAGAUCAGUUUAUGGGCUGGUCUUCCAGAGAUAGCCUAUGCAUUUGCUAAUAUUUAUGAAUAUCCCUGCACCUUGUUUGACUUCACUCUGUAGGGAGUGUCUUACUUUGCUUGGACUUCCAUAACUAUGUACCACAGACUAGGUGGCUUAAGCAUCAGAAUAUUUUUAUGUAAUGAUCAUGGAGACUGGAAAGUCAAAACCAAGGUAUUGGCAGGUGAGGUUCUGGUGAGGCUUCGUAGAGACAAAAGAAAGAAGGAGUUUUAUUUCUUUCUUGUAGAUUCUCAUUUAACUCUCAUCUGCUAACAGUCCCUAAAUACAGUGAUGUUAGGUACUAGGCCUUCAAUAUAUGAGUAUGGAAGCAGGGUGUAGACAUUCAAUCUUCAGCAGUAGACAAUGGAGAUGCUUAUCUAGCCAGUAGGUUUAGGCAAAGAUGCAUUAUUACCUUUCCUGGAGACUGAACUGAUGAUGCUGGACGGCUGGUACUAGAUAGGAUGUUAGAAGAGGAGGGAUGCAGAAUUCAAAUCUAAUGGUGAUAUCCUGGAGGAUGCAUGGGGACCUCUGUAGGUGGACACUGCUGGUACUCAGAUGAGCUGAUGUCAUGCUCAGUAUGAAGAGUAUAGACUUCAUGAGCCUUUGACUUUUUGGGGGUGAUUGUGAGAGGGACACCCAGGUUAAGAUGUGGAGCCCCAGGUAGGAAAGGGAAGGAGAAAGCUCUCCUUGUUACAGUCUAUACAUUUUGGCAAGUCAGUUCUUGGUCCUUAGAACCCCAGGACCCCAGAGAACCCAAGGCCACAGUGGGUCUGCAGAUGCUCUCUCACAGUUCAGCUAUGGCAUGUCCCCCUUUUUACACUGUCAUCCCCUUCCCCAUCCUGGGACCUCAGGCAUGGCCCCGCUCGGCUUGUUUUCAGGCACUCUUUCUACCCAGGGUCCAUUAUUCCUUUUCAGUGUUCCAUCCACAUCUGAUCUCUCCACAUUUGCUUAUGGUCAUCUAGCUCUCAUUCUGCCCUUUGGUUUUGUGCCUUUUGACUCUCAUUGGGGAUGUUUGUCUUUUUUUCUCACUAGAAUGAAGACUCUAUGAGGGUGCUAACCACUUCUAAGUGUUCCCCACCAUGUCUAGCAUGUACCAUGUUUUCUGAAAACACUGGAUGAAUGCUCAUUGGGAGAACACAUUCUCUUGCUGCUUUGGGAAGAAGAAUGCAAAAGAGAGGAGAGGCCCAGGAUAUUUUCUUCUGAAGGUCAUUCAUUGUCCCAGCACAUUUCCUCCCAGGUUUGUUGUUAGUGGGAUGCACAUUGUGUUUGCACUGGGCACACUGUAUGCUUGUCCCUUGGCACUCAUUGGGAGUUGGUUGUCCUAGAAACUGAACGCUGCAAAUGCUCAAGUUUCUUAUACACAAAAUAGCAGAGCAUCUGCAUAUAUCCUGUGUAGGUUACUUAUAGUACUUAAUGACAUGAUUGCUAAGUACCUGCUCUACCAUCUUAGUUAGAGAAUAAUGACAAAAAAGCAUUAUAUACACCUUAUGUGUAGACACAACUCAUGCCUCUCUCCAGUAUUUAGUGGAAUUGAUUGACAGAAUCUAUACAUGGGGAGAGCCACUGCACUUUGAAUGGAAUUCUACAGUUGACCAGUGAUUGUCAUUUACUUAUUAUAGCUCUCAUUCACAUAAUCAGAGAUGUUGUCACUGGUAUAAAUAGUUGUUUUGGGGAUUUGAAAUCCUAAAUUUGUCUAGUUUGUGCUUUCUUCCUUUUAUCCACUGUCUGCAUGUCCCUGCCAUUAUCAUGACAGUCAAUGGAACAUUCCAGAAAUGAUGAUAAAUAUGUGGUACAUAGCACUUACCCAAUGUAGAAUGGGGAACUCUGAAAGUCCUUUUUAAUAGAUGUUGUCACAGUAGAGCCCUGUUCUCUUUGGGCAGCAAUAGAGGUCUGGAACUCAGGCUUUGCUGCUGCCCAGGCUGUGGUUGGAGUCCAGGCUAUGGCUAGAGCUCAGGCUUUGUUGAUGCCAAGGCUAUGGUUGGAGUCCAGGUUGUGGCUAGAGUUCAGGCUUUGUUGGUGCCAAAGCUAUGGUUGAAGCCCAGGCUGUGGCUGGAGCCCAGACUGUGGCUGGAACUCAGGAUUUGCUGGUGCCCUGGCUAUGGUUGGAGACCAGGCUGUGGUUGAAGGCUGUGAUAGACACAUUUUUAUUAGGCUUAACCCCCUCCCAUUUGAUUCUGAUGCAGAUGGUCAUGGGCAAUAAUUUGAGAGAUGUUGCAUUUCAAGUUCUAUAUGGCCAACUAAUUCUUCCUAUAGGGUAAGUAGUAGAUAAUUUUGGAGUUUUAAGAGUUGACCAUCCUCAAUAUCUUAUUUUUGUAGUUCCAAGGAUUGAACCAAAUGACUUUUGCAUGCUAGACAAGUGAUCUUCCCCUGAACUCUGUCCCCAACACAAACCCAACACUACAUUUAUGUUUGGAGUCCUGUGUGGCCCUGCUGAGAAAAAAAGGAAAGCUUGGUCAGAUGAACUGAACCUGAACAGGGGAUUCUGGCUGGGAUGAGUCUGUGAUACUCACUGUCAAGGUUAUGAGGCAGAGGCCAAGACAAGGGGCUCUGGGAUUGGAAUCUCUGAGGUUGACUCUUUGUUGAUGGAGUGACCUUGGGAAAGUUGUGUAGGGUUUCCCUCUUCCUAUAGGAAACAGUGUUAUUACUUAGUGCCUUAGAUCACUGUGCAGACAAAAGAAAAUAAUGCAUGUCAAACCCUUGGCACAGUUCCUAGGGUAGCUAAGAGAAACAAACACAUCAAAAGGAAAAACAAAACAAAGAUCCUGUCUUCCCCAGUGCCACUGUUAUAACAUUGUGUCUGAAACCUGCCCUUGUCUGUGGUACUUAAGUGAGGCACAUUGUUGGAAUGGAUUUUAUCAAGUAUAAGGGCACAGUGCAAUAUUUUUUUUGUUUGUUUGUAAGGACAAGUAGCUUCGAACAAUCUGUUACUUGGGCUGGAGCCAUCUGAGAUACUCAGUGUGGUGACAGCCUGGUGGGAACGUGAGAUUGAAACAGCUUAAAUUAAUCACAAGCAGGAGCUGAGGAACAGGGGCACUUCAGAGGACAGCCCCUGUAGUUUGCUGGUGUAUCUGUAUAACACUUCUCAGACCUGGAGGGCAGAAGGUUCCCAGCUUCUUGAGUUUCCUUCUGUGGUAGACAAGAGUAGACCAUUCAGAAGUUGGUGCAAAGAGCUGAGAAUUAGUAGUGGCUAGUGUGGGGGAGCAGUUCCUACAAUGUUCAGCUGUAGAGAGACACCCCCACCCCCAGAACAUGUGUGCUCAGACCACAUCAUCUCUGUCUAACCCCACAGAAUCAAGUGCUGGUUGGAGGUGAGUCCUUUGGCAACUCUAGCAGAAUCUAUCAACAGCAGCCUUGUAAGUCCUACUGGAUUUCCUGAAAGAUGACCAUCAGUGAGGUCACCAUCCUUGCUGUGCUCAGCAUUUUUCUUGUUGUUUUGAUACAGAGCCUCAUGUCACACAGGCUGUCCCUGAACUUACUAUGUAGGCAAGAACGCCCUUGAAUCUAUGAUGCCCCUACCUCCACCUCCUAGGUGCUGGGAUUAUAGGCUUGUGCCACCAUGCCUAGUUUUAUAUAGUGCUGGGGAUCGAAGUCAGUGAUUCUUGAAUUCUAAGCAAGCACUCUACCAACUGACCCACACCCUCAGUUCUCCACUCAGUGUUUCUCUCUACAAAGCCUACCAUGCUUUGAGAAGUACAUGCCAGGGAAAGAACUUUGCUUCCCAAAGGUUCUCAAAUGUUCCUACCUCAUGCUUCAGGAAAACAGUGUAAUUGACCAAUUUCUUGAUCAAUUGAUCAACUCUGCUUGAAAGAGCACAUGGAAAAUUGAAACUGCAGAGACCCUCGUCUCUUGCUGCCUGUUUGGCAUCUUUCAUGGAUCUUGGACUACAUAGGACAUGUACUAUGUCAGGAAUUUGGAGUUCCUGGUGACAGAAACCUAAUGUAAAGAAGAAUGUGUUGGGCCACGUCUGACCUGUAGACACUGCUAGAUCUCCAGUGUUUCUAGGACUUUAACUUUGUCUCUUCAUCUAUAGAUAUUGUAUAUUUUGUGUAAAUUAUAUAUUUUCUCUUGACUUAAUUUCUAGACAGUUAUUUUUCUGAAAUGGCCAUGUCAUUAUCAGUAGCCAGAGAUUGUGGUAAUUUCUAGUGAUCCAGAGAUCCAGGGAAGGAAAGAGGAUAUUUCUCCACAGCUGCGUUGAAAACCACAAAAAGUUUAUGACUAGCCUGUGGGAAAUAAUAUGCACCAAGGGAAACAGUGCUCUGAUUGGCUAGUUAUGGGUGAGGUGGUGGAGUCAUCUGCCCAAAUCUCACAGGCAGAGCAGAGUCUCUGUAACAGGGAGGUGGUGUGUGUGUGUGUGUGUGUGUGUGUGUGUGUGUGUGUCUGUCUGUCUGUCUGCCUGCCUGUCAGUGAUAUUUAAAGGGUAGAUCUUCAGGAAGAGAUUCUAAACAGACAACAAUGACAAAUACACACAUACCUCUGUACUAAUUUAUAUUUUUACUGUGUUCAAUGUGUGAUUGUUUAUUUAUAUUUUGCUCUCUGCCUGAAAUCCUUUGUGAAAUGAGGUGGAAUAAAUAAAUGAUAAGAUGUGUAAACAGACUGGAUAAACAAGUCAGUGCAUCGCUCCAUACAAAAGGAAGGAGGGGUUGUUUAAAGAUGAGCAGAAGCUUCAGAAUUUGCAGUGAGUUGAAUCAGAAAUUUUCUCCAAAGACUCAGGCUUUAAAGUCUUGGUCCUUAAUGCAAACUUCAAGCUGGGAUUUUGUGGAAGUUAUCAUCAGAACUGUGAUCCAGCUAAUAGAUCAGUCCAUUGAUGGAUUUGUAAUUUGUUGGCAUUGUUGGAAAGUGGUAGAAAAUAAGAGGUGCCUGCUUGCUGGAGGAAGUAGAUUCCUAGAGAGGUGCCCUGGAAAGGUGUAUCUUGUCUCUAGCUGCCUCUCUCUCUCUCUCUCUCUCUCUCUCUCUCUCUCUCUCUCUCUCUCUCUUUCACUCCCUCACCCCCUUACUGUUUCUUGGCUAUCAGAUGAGUAACCUCCUCUACCAUAUGCUGCUGCUGCCAUUACCAUGAUCUCCUGAAUUUGCCUUAGGCUCAAAGCAAUGAAAGUAUAUGACAACUGAAACCUCUGAAACUGUGAACCAAGCCAAACCUUUCUCAUCAGUUGCUUUCUCAAGCAUUUCAUCAUAGUAACAGAAUAUAUUUGAGUAAUGCAGAAUAUAUGAAAGAAAUGCAGUUGUCUCUUGUUGUACACUGCACAGCCAGGACCUCUGCGAUGAGCAUGGCUGUUGUGAGCUCAUACCUAGCGUGGCAGGUGGCACAUAAUAUCAGCACUAGAGAAACUGAGGCAGAAGGAUCAUAAAUUCAAGUCUAAUUAUUUCAAUGAAACAUUAAAAAAGCUUCCCAAACCCCAUCAAACAAAAAAAGCGUAUUCCUCCAUUUGUAGAUGUUUGGGAUGGGGGUGGUUCAUAUAAUGUGUAUCCCACACAGUUUAAUACCAAGAACUAAGAGGGAGACAAUAUCUUAGAGUUCAUAUCUUUCUCUACCAUACUGCCUGAUACCUAAUUGAUGUUCAAUACAGUUCUUUGACUAAAUGAACUGGCCCACUUUGAACCUCUUUAUCUGUGCUGUCUUGUCCUCUAGACAGCUACAUUCUUAAUGAGUGCGCAUGGGUGUGCACAUGUGGAUAUAUGUGUGCACAUACAUGUGUGGGGGUGUGCAAGCAAGCAUCAUCUUCAGGUACUAUAUGUUUUUUUUGUAGGCUUUCUUGAUGGUUUGGAACUUGCCAAGUAGACCAGGCUGGCCAAUGAGCCUCAGAGAUCUGCCUGUCUCUGCCUACACAGUACCACGAUUACAGAUACAUACCCCCAAAUCAGGCUUUUAAAAUGUGAGUUCUUGGAUCAAUCUCAGGUUCUUGUGCUUGCAAGGUAAACACUUUGUUGACUGAGGCAUCUCUCUGUUCUCCAGUUUCUAUUUAGGAGUAUUAAACAUAAUUGUGUGGGCUUACUCUCAGAUGCACACCAAGCACUUACAUGUCAGCUUUUAAAAUCUCUAUUAUUUUUCCAGGAAUGCUGCUGAGCCCAAAGCAAUGCCUUUUUUUAAAAAUUUAAAUUUGCAGUUCUGGGAUAUAACCGAGAGCCUUGUGCAUAUCAGGGAAGCCCUCUGCCUCUAGGUUUGUGAAAAGUCGACCUUAUAUAUGGAGCUGCCAGGAUGGACUAGACUGAAGCAAGUAGGGACUGGAAUGUUAGCAACAGACAGGUUCGAAAAGUCUCUCAGAGGGCAGAUCUCUGUGAAAGCAUCAUGUGGGCUUUCUUGAAGCCCAUAGUCCCCAGCCAGAAAGUAGCAAGGAACCCAUGUGCUUUCUCUUUCCUUUUCUUUUUAAAUUUAUUCUUCUCUCAUAUAUUAUAUCUGGACCUCAGUUUCCCCUCCCUUCUCUCCUCCUAGUCUUCCCUCACUCCCACCUCUACUCUCCCCCAGAUCCAUUCCUCCUCCUUCCCGUUCAGAAAAGGGCAGGACUCCCAGGUAUAUCAACCAAACACGGCAUAUCAAGCCACCCAUGUGCUUUCCCACAUCUUCUUGCCUCUUGUUAUGCCUGGAAGAAUUUUUUUCAAUGUCCACAUGCUGGCAGGGCCAACUCAAUUUAAUUCCCCCAGAAGCAGACAGAGCCUGAGACAAGGAUUCGAGAAAAAUUCCUUUAUUUGGGAGGUGAUCUCAGGAAGUACUAUUGGGGGGAUGUAAGUAAUGGUGUGUUAUCAGGGGAUUACAACCAUUGAGAGCUUGAGUUCUAUACUGCUGGAGAACUAUGGGAGAGGGGCCAGAAUCUGUCCCCAGGGACAGGAAAGCAAGUAUACCUGGAGGAGGUAUAAGAGCACAUCAAGGGGACAUAAUGUGGCAUAGAAACUUCUCUCCAAGGAGUGUGUGGCUAUAUCUGGGGGAGUAACUAGUCUAUGGACAGAAGGUCCCUGGAGGCUCAUUUGCAGGGAAAAAUUGCAUUUAGAACCCCAAACUUUCUUCAGGGGAAUGCACAGUCUGGGGUGUUUGAAACACAAACACAUUCAAAAGCAAUUAUUGGAACCAUCAUAAACAAGUCUGGUCACUUCAGAAAAAGAUGUAAAGGACAGUUUCUGCCUUCACAGGAACACCGGAAAGAGAAAGGGCCAUUUCCAUUCUGGAUGUGGGUGAACAGCAAGCAAGAUACCAUGUGAUUGUUCCCAGAGACAUUGAGAUGAAAUCUCUCACAAUCUAUAGACUAUUUUAAAAUUCAGUGUUAACUAUCCAAUGCCUUUAGGAUAACUCAUUGUCACUGGACCAAUUUAAGUCUCAUUAAUCACACGAAGGAAAGAACUUCCUGCCCCUUGAAGCUGGUAGUAACCAGCUGUGAGCUGGAGGGAUGUUUCCCAUAAAUGGAACUCAAGUGGUCUAAUUAUGCAAAGAUGGGAGCAAGAAAGAUCCUCCUGAGUAGGGACAUUAUCUUGACUCACAGUUGUCAAUCUCUGGCUCUGCUGCUGGGCUUAGGACUACCUGAACUGGUAGAGCUGGAGGAUUUUGAAGAUAGUGGUGGGAAUCUGUGGGUUGCUUUUGAGUACACAUGAAGCUGACUAAUGACCUUUAAGGUAACAUGAUCUAGUCUCUAUUUAUUGGUCUCUCAUUUACUGAAAACAUAUUUUGUGCCAGACGGUAGACUGACCACUUUGAAUACAAAUUCAUACUGUUUGUAACACUUCCAUGAGUUGUGGGUCCUUGUCCUUUUUAUAGAUAUAAAAAUUGAAGUUUGGAGAUGUUAACAUGUAAAUAGCUAUGGUUUGAGCCCUGGUCUGCUCAUUUCCAAACCAAACCAAACCAAGCUCUUUAACCAUUGCAUGACAGUGUGUUCAGUUGAUCCAAAGCUUAUCAGUAAAGGGACAGUUUCCUGACGUUGGAAAACAAGGAUAAACAGAAGAAAACCAACAACUAUCCAUUCUAAAUGCCCAAAGAAAGUUAUUGAUGAUGCCAUUAUGGUAUGCUGCUGUCUUAGCAUGCUUGGGCUGUUCUAAGUAUAAACAACACAAGCCCACUAGACAGCAGCGAGUGCUGACAUGCCCAAGCUCUAGUGCCAGUAGAUUUGGUGUUGGGCAAGGCCUGCUUUCUCAUAGAUGGUGCCAUGUUGAGUUAGGCAUGGUGGUGUGUGUCUGUGAUCCCAGUAUUUAAGAGGCAGAAGCAGAAGGACUGUGGGUUUCAGGCCAGCAUGGAGUAUACCGUGAGAUUGUAGACAAAAAUGGUGCCUCCUCCUCAUCCUGUCAUUGUGGAAGGGACGUGCAUGCUCCCUCAGACCUGCUUUAUAAGGCUGUGAGUGACAUUCGCAAGGUUCUGCCCUCAGUGUCUAGGAACUUCCCAAAGGCCCCACCUUUUAAUAUCAUCACUUAGAUGGUUAGGAUUUUAACAGAUGAAUUUUGGGGAGACAAAAUCAUUCAUAUCAUAACUAAAAUCCUUUUAGUAUUAAUUUCCAUUGUCAGAUUUGGAAAAAGUCCCAUAUCCACACUAUGACUUCUGUCUUGUUUUUUUCCAAAUGGAUGUUAUGCCUCAAGUAUUUCAUUAUUAUUGCAUAUACUUGCAAAUAUUACUAAAAAUUCUGUAGCAUGUUAUUAUAUGGCUGUAUAUACCCUCUUCCCCUUCCCUCCCCUUUCUUUCCCUCCCCCUUCUCUCCUCUAUCCCUGCUUUCUGUGUUUUCCAACUCCUCCAUUUUCCCCUUUCUACUCUGUCUUCUCCCUCCUCUCUCUUCUUUUCUCUCCCACAUCUCUUCCCUCAACACCCCUCUUACUUCUCUUUCUUCUUCUCAUCUUUUAUUAUUAUUAUUUUAUUAUUACUAUUAUUAUUAUUUGUGACUGAGAGAUAGAAUCUCACUAUGUAGUUCAGCUAACUUUACUCUCCAAAUUCUCUUUCUCAGAAGUUCUGGGGCUGUAAGCAUGCACCACCAUGCCUGGCUGUUAUGGUUUCUUCAUAUUUAAAAUGUGGAUAAUAUUUUCCACCUUAUAACUUUGUAGAACAAUAAUAGUUAGUAGGUGUCUGACAUAUGCUAAAUAUUCAAUAAAUAUUUAUUCCCCUAUUUCUCCGAACCCAGACAAGUUCCCUAGAAUCAGAACCUGAAAUGGGAAUUCUUGUGCAAGACACUUCCUUGGGAGAGCUCUGGAAGGGAGGGAUGGUAGUAAGAGAGUAGGCAGGGGACAAAAGAGGCAAGGUCUUCAUUGGCAUCCAGCCUCAGCCUGAUCCAUGGGGAGAGCUAGAGCAUGAACUGUACCAGUUAGCCCCACACUGCAGCCAUGGACUUAUGCCAGUGGUCAUCAGUUGUGGGUUCCUGAUGAAGACAAGGAUGCGAAACCUUUGCAUGGGGUAAGACACCUUUUCUUUAACCAUGGAUGACUCAAGAGUGGCUGUUUCCAAUAUGGCAGUCCAAAGCCACUUGUGGCAAUGAAGGGGCUGUCUGAGUGCAAAUGUGCCAUUGAUGUAAAAUACACAUCAGAUUGUGAAGGCUUAGUAUGAAAAGGUCAAUGUCAACAUCAUUAUUUUUGUGUGUAUUUAUAUAUGUGUGGGUAUACAUGUAUGUAUGUGCAUGUGGAGGUCACUAGACAAUCUUAGGUGCCAUAUUUCAUGUAAUGUCUACUUUUUUUUGAGACAGGAUCUUCCACUGAUCUUAACUUGACAAUUAAGCCGGGCUGUCUGGCCAGUGAGCCCCAGGAAGCCUCCUGUCUCUGUUUCCUUAGCACUGGGAUUACAAACAUGUGCCAGCACACCAGAAAACACACACACACACACACACACACACACACACACACACACACACACACACACACAACUAUAUUUUUCCUUUAAGGGAAACACACAGGAAAACAUAAAUUCAAAGUGGUAGAUGUAGAAGAUGUGUAAAAGUAGCUACCAGACAAGCUGCCCAAAUAUGUGUGGCUUCUAGAGGAGGGGUGUGGCCCUUAACUUCAUCUGCCUUCCUUCAUCAUGAGAUAUUAGCUCUGUCAGGGCUUGGCCAAGUUUAGAAAAGGUUUGUAUAUUUUUCAGGCUUCCAAGACAGAGAAUAUAGUGUGGAGGAGAGAAAUACAUGAUUACUUUGUUUCCAGUGUAUGCUCUCAAUGCCUGAAGAUUCCCCAGCCUGUCUUUCAGUAUUUGAUUUCAAAGAGAUGAACUCCAUGGCAUAAGGGAAGCUUAGGCAGUGAGGCCUUGCUGAUGAGGAAGCAAGCAGCAUUGUACUAGGUGCAGAAGUUGCCCCAUAUGUGGAGUAGAACAGAAGAGAUGCUGAGGAAACAGUGGGAAGAAGAAGGAGAAGAAGAAGAAGAAGAAGAAGAAGAAGAAGAAGAAGAAGAAGAAGAAGAAGAAGAAGAAGAAGAAGAAGAAGAAGAAGAAAAAGGAGUUCAUCUGCUUCCCAUGUGUUAUAAACUGAACUUCCCUUGGCCAGGGGUUGCAGGGGUGACCCUUUCACUGUAUGUAGGAAGACACGCAUUGCCAAGUUAUGGAUAACGUUGGUCAGGGUCCAGGCAAUGGGUGUGCAGAAGGAGGGGAUGCUAAGUAGAACUGCCUGCAGCAGCCGGACCAAGAUGCCAGCAGGAUGCCAAAGGCCAGCAGGAUGCUCUGGCUAUUCAUCACUCAAGUGCUGGGGGUUUCUUGUCUAUAUGCCUCUCCCCUCACAUUCAUCCUUCCAGCUUCAGGACCCCAUCUGGGUAGGGCUUGCCUUUAUAUCUGUGGGCUCGCCUGACCUUUUCCAUGUGGGUUCUGGGGAUGAAACUCAGGUCCUCACACUUGCAAGGCAAGCCUGUUACUGACUGAGUGACCUUCCCAGCCGAACCUCACUAAUUUUUGUAAGUGGAUUGUGUGUUAUCACAAUAAUACCUUGAAUAUACUGGGUUAAAUAAAACAUUUUAUUAAAAUUGA